GCGUCUUCCUCAGCCGCGCAACAGUUUUGUUUGAAGCGUCAACACGUGCGGUAGUCACUCGUCCUUGGUCCUGCUACCCGAAUUUUGUCUGACAUUUGUGAAAGGACUCGCUGACUUUCGCGUAGCGCGAUCAAAAUAUACUCAUUGCAAUGUGCACGUCAGUCAGUCAGCAAUCGAAGCGAAUCGAAUCGAAUUCAACUGAAUAAAGUCUCAAGAAAUACGAAAAAUAAGAGGAAAAAACAAAAAAACCCAAUUCAGCCGAUUUAUUAAUGAUUUUUGUUGUUUUUGUUGCGUGCCGGCAUUAAUACAAAAUAGAAAAUAAACACAGAAUAAAGCGAAGCAGAAGGGCAAGUCGGGCGCUGAAUUAAUCAAAUUAAAAGUACUUGGCCGUGCAAUUACGCAGAAUGCCGUUUGCCUUUUAAGUUGCAUAUUGUUCGGCGAUCGAAGGAGGAGUGUGGCAGCAGCGCAGAGUGCAGCAGAGCGGAUUGGACUGGACUGGAGUGGAGCGCGGUGGAGUGGAGGAGCGGAAAAGCGC